GGGUUGUGAGGUUAAGCGACUAAGCGUACACGGUGGAUGCCCUGGCAGUCAGAGGCGAUGAAGGACGUGCUAAUCUGCGAUAAGCGUCGGUAAGGUGAUAUGAACCGUUAUAACCGGCGAUUUCCGAAUGGGGAAACCCAGUGUGAUUCGUCACACUAUCGUUAACUGAAUACAUAGGUUAACGAAGCGAACCGGGGGAACUGAAACAUCUAAGUACCCCGAGGAAAAGAAAUCAACCGAGAUUCCCCCAGUAGCGGCGAGCGAACGGGGAGGAGCCCAGAGCCUGAAUCAGCAUGUGUGUUA
rnacentral:rRNA from 1 species